rnacentral:rRNA from 1 species
AACGGCCGUACCAUGCUGAAUAUACCGGUUCUCGUUAGAUCACCGAAGUCAAGCAUCAUUGGGCGCGGUCAGUACUAGGGUGGGUGACCAUCUGGGAACACCGUGUGCCGUU